AUUCGACGUCUUAGGAUUUGGAUUUGGGUCACAUGAAAUGCACACCCGAGUUUAGGAAUGUAAGAUUUUUAAAGAAUGCGCCCAAAGCGAUAAAUGCGUUGUUAACUUAACAGGAGGCCAUCGAAAUUUGCUAAAUGGCAUGUCCCGAGUUCUAAGGAUUUUAAAGAAACUAAUUUAAAUGAGGGCCACGUAUUUGUGAUUUUAUUUUGCACGGCGCACCUCAAUUAUUUUAAUGGUAUUUAACUAAAGCUUGAAGGGUCAUGGACUAUUUUGUUGUAUAAUAUGACCCUCCUCAAAUUGUUCUAAAGGUCCUAUUAAUUGACUAAAGUCAUGGGGACUAACUUCAAGCCUAAAAUUAAGCCAAGUAAGUUUGAAACUGUCGUUGCUAAUUACACUUCAACACAUGAAUUGGGCUGCAGGAGGUCAAAGUGAGGACAGCCUAAUAAUAAAUGCACCAUUAUCUUAAAAUAUGGAUAACAAAUGAUCAACUUAAAUCAAAUAUUCUUUAAUCAAGGGCUCGAUGGUUUAUGGCAUUUAAAACGGACCUGUUAACUAGCUUUUCAAAACAACCAUGAAAUUCCAGUAUUAACUUAAAUUAUAUAUGAUUUAACGAAAUGACCACAAGGAUCAAACAUGUUAACACACCUAGCCGAGUUUUGGACUCACGCUACAACAAACAAUGCCUUUCUAUUCUAUGCAACUGUACAUACCUAAAUAAGCAAAGAAGGCACCUGAACUUUCAAGAAAAAUGCCAAAUUGGAGAUCAAAACAGGGUUAACCAUAUAAAUGACUACAUAUACGACUAGGCAAAUGAAUAUAUAUAAAACAGUAGUCCAUACAUACAGUCCCUCAAUGUUCAAACGAGUUAAUAGUCCACACAUUUCCAAUAAAAUUAAAGAACAACUUGAAUCCCAAAGUACUACUACUACACUAGGGUGAACAAGCUAGGCUAAAUACCAUUACACUACACUAGGGACUUCAGGAAUUUUAAAACAUGAUUAUGGACAUUUGAAGAUGAGAAAAAGCAACCCUUCAUUCAUGAAAACUUCAGGCAACUACAGCUCUCAUAUUUGCAUCUUAUCUCCUAAAAACCAAGGAAUACCUGGCAUAAUGAAGCAAAGAAGUGAGGUACAGCAAAUGAAAACAGCAGCAGUAAUCAACAACUUUGAACCAGUUAUGAACCUAGAAAGUGAAGCAAAAUAUUCCAGAAAAUCAACUUUGAACCCAGCAAUGAACCAGAAAACCCAAAAUAGAAUUGAUUUCAAUUUGUUUCAACUAUCAGCUACCCUAACAUUGUUUUAACUUUAGAAAUCAACAGCAAGGAUCAAUGGAACAGUAUUUUUUGAAGAAAAUCUCUCAAGAUCCUAAAAAUCUCUCUCAAAUCUAGGCACUCAAAUUUCAGGUUCUCAAAAACUCUAAAAAAAUCUGCAGACUCUCUAAAUUUUUUUUAGGCUCUCCAAACUUGAUCUCAAGGGCAAGGGUGUGAUUCCUUUAUAGGCAAAUAAUUAGGGCACCUUUUAGGUUUUGUUUUGCAUUGCAACCCCUUUUUAAUUUCUGUUUUUGCGUAAGCAAUCCCUAAAUUCCUGACUUGUGGCUCAAGUUAAUACCUUAUGCAGCUUUUAAGAAGUUUCCUAAGCUGUUACACCUAAGAUUCCCUAAUUUAAUUACCCUAAUUUCCCUUUAAACUUCUGAAAAUUACUUUGACGAACCAGCCUGGAUCCAAAUGACCCAAGGCCAAUCAGACCUGGAUUUUUACACUAUGGAGCUGACCCUUAUUUUCUAAAUGGGCCAAUAAAGAUUUCAAGACUCAUAUAAACCAUCAAUCCAAUUAAGAUUCUGAGCCAACUUAACCGGAGUGCAAUCAUUUUAACAAUUUGAAUUCUAAACUAUUCAACCUAUUUAUCAUACCUAAAAUAAUGGAUCAAAGUAAUGGCCUAGGGUUAGUGAUUGAGGAAACUAUAUAAAACUAGGCAUGCAUGAAUGAGAUAGUUGCAGAAGAACAAAAACAAAAUUAAGCAAUGAGCAAAACAAUCUUGAAAUCAAAAUGAACCUAUGAACUAAAUGAAGAUCAAAAGAGAAUAAAACUAAAAGGGGUGUUAAAUUAUGGCUAACCUAGGCAUACGGAAGUAAAAUAAGAAAAACAAGAAGAUAAAAGGAAAAAGAAGUGAAGAAAAAAACCCUGAGCACACCUGUCUGAGAUGAGCAAAUAAGAAUCCGGAAUCGAUCCCUUGAGUUGGCCUUGUUAUGGGUCGAAUUAGACCUUAAUCGCGUGUUUUCAAUGAAAACACGUGACAAAAGUCCAAAUCGAACCCAAACGUCAUCCAAUUAAUCAUUUAAAAUUUUAGGGUUUCAAAUUUAGAUUAAAGAUUUGAGGAAUUUGGGUAGGAUUCAAGUGUUGGGAGUGUAAGAUUAGGGAAGAAGAGGCCAUGAGGAUGAUGGGGUGUUAAUUUGGGUAGUAUUUGGGUGGUGGCGCCGCCGGUCACGGCGGAGGGUCAGGGUUUCUGAGCAAUAUUCGAGAAGCUCAAGCAGGAUUUGAGGGACGAGGUUUGCAGAUUUGGAAAGAGGAGAAGAAGAGGAAUAUGGGGUGUUAAUUUUGUGGCCACCAGAGACCCGCCGCCGCCAUUGGCGAUUUUCGACCGACGGUUCAUGGCGGUAGACGACGGGGUUAAGUCUGGUCUUGUGAGAGGUGAUAGAGAUGAGGGGAGGGGGGUUCUGAGGGGGUAGGGUCCAUUUGGACAUAAAUAUACUAACGGACCCUAGCUUCUGGACCGUUUGAUCAAUUAACCUAGACGGCUAGGAUUAAACUUCGCAAUACAACGUCGUUUGGCUGACUC
rnacentral:lncRNA from 1 species